CCUGUGUCACAAGAAUCAACUGUACCUGACGAGAACAGACUGUCUGAAAAUGUUGUCUGUGCGGAUAAUUUUGUUUUGUACUUUGGUACAUUUAAAUCUCUGCCAACAACAGUACCCUGCAUCUACGAAUGGUAUGGUCAGGAACAGCAACUGGGGCAAUAGGAUUAUGACAAAUAACCGCCACGACCCGUGGAGUUCUAACUUUCAACGAAGAUCGUUCACCCCAAAUACAUCCACUGCUAGAGGUAAUCGCAGGUUUCUGACAAACGGCCAGGGACAAAGGAGGACGAACUAUAAUCAACAACCACUACAACGACGACGACCAAAUACACAACAGCUCUUCCCGAGAAGGAAUCCCCAAGCACCUCCACCAAAUUAUCUCUCUGCUCCCACUGUUAUGAAACUGAUGCAGUUUAUCAACAAAUAUAGAGCAGAAGUGGAUGCCAGCAACAUGAUGGAGAUGAGAUGGAGUAACGAACUAGCAAGACGCGCUGCCGCUAGAAGUGGGAGUUGUCAAUUUAACCAUCUUAAGGACACCCAGGGCGAGAGUCUGAUAGUUGUACGCCAUGACAUAGUUGGUACCAAUUUGGUGGAUUACAUUAUGAACGAAUGGUACGGAGAAAAGAAUACUUUCAGACGAGAAUAUGAUUGUAGAACAACUAAAUCUUGUAAUUACAGCCAGAUGAUCUGGGCUACGACUAGACAAGUUGGCUGUGCAUCACACAUUUGCGCCAAACAUCAAUUGGUUGUUUGUUUAUUCUCACCAGAUGGUAAUUUAUAUCGACAGCCGGCCUACAUUAAAGGUAAUCACUGCUCAAGAUGUCAAGGUAGAUGUAGAAAUCAACUCUGUAUGUGGUAGAUAAACUAUAGCGAUGAUAGCAAGCUGUGGAGAGUGGAAAGAUGGCUACUCGAUGGAGUUACCUGCCCUUUAUUAUAAUUACUAUUGUUUACUUUGAUCACGAUUCUUGUUGAUUAAUGUUUGUUGUUGUCUAACAGUUUAAAAUAAUGACUUUAUAACACAGCACAGUUCAAUAUAAUGAAUUUAUUAUGGGACAUUGUUGUUUCGUUGUCACUAAGUAGUUUCAAAUAAUGACUUUAUUGUGGGACAUUAUUGUUGUCAUGAAACAGUUCAAUAUAAUGAUUUUAUUAUGGGACAUUGUUGUUUUGUAGUCACUUACUAAUGACUUUA